AACCCAAAAGUGAAUGGUGAACUCCAGACUUCCCGUCAAAAAACUGAAUAAAUUUGAACUGCGAAGCGUGAAGCGUGAAUUCCACGGUCUGCCACUUCUCUAACUUGUUUUCCGGGUAAAAGGAUUUUGUUAUACAUAACUUCUUGAUCCCUUGGAUGUGGUUGUUUGCUGAAAAUGGCACGAGCUCGAAGCACUCGAGCCCAGCCGCGUCCAGACGCUCCGAUUAAGUGCGUUCGAGUUCCUGCGGUGCAGAAUGCCGCUAAGCCCCGAGCAGUUCUUCAUGACUGGUAUUUGAAAAAGCACACUGCUGCCUCUGUAGUCCAGUUAGUGGGAAGUUUUGACGGACAGAAUAUCAGCAUCCAUUCCUUCACUGAACAGAAGUUCACGACUUCCGUCAUUAUCACCCGUGUUAGUGAAACGUUGGUCACUACCAUUACUGGGUCCGCUUACGAGUUGCGCGGGAAAAUCAACGCUGAAGCAAUGCGGGCGAAUGGAUUCUCCGUUCAAGUCAUCCGAGCUUUCGAAAACGGAUUUCCAUCUAACUGGGAAGAUGUUAUCCGACAGGAUUUUGCCAAGACUAGGUCGGCCAAGAAGUUUGACUUUGGACAGAAAAUCGACUUACUGGGCUCAGCGGCGAAGAAACAUGCCCCGAAAAGGGAACUGGAGAGUUCAUUUCAACCAGUUGCGACUGCUUCCGGUCGUCCCGUCACCAAGCAGAUUACCACAAAGAAUCCGGCCGUGCGUAACACACCCUUCUCGGAGCGCCUACGUCCUCGCCCGCAAAUCCCAGUCGUCAGCAAUAAGGGAGUAAUGACAAAAGUUGUUGUGCAAAAAGUUCCUGCUCAGAAAGCGGUUGAGCGAAAGCCGACUGGGAAGCUCGCUGCGAAGUUUAGGAAUGGUUUCGAAAAAGACCGAACAGUCAUCGGAACAACAAAUUGCUCUCAUAAAAAUGCCGACAUUGGACAGCUUACGACAGGCUGCAUCUGGCUCUGAUUCUGGGAAUAAGCCGCACAGUGGAAGCUUGGGGCCGGUUGAAGCCAUGAACAAAGCCUUGGGAAGGAAUUCUGUCAUUAAACAAACUGAGUCACGCACUUUCGGGUGGGCCAAGCGGACUAAAGUGCCGAUUGGAAAAGGUGGAAAAGGAAAAGACGUCAAGCGGCUGAAUGGUGCCAAAGGAGUCGUUCUUAAAAAAGUGAUAGAGAAACGCACCGUCAACUGGUACAACAAUGCGGUGGCUCAGACAGUUCGAGCCAAGUCGGAGGAUGAGGUGCACAAUCCUCUCUUCCCGGACAACGUGGAAGAGUCAAGCGCUGCAUUGCCUGUCGCUCAAUGGCCCGAAGGUUUAGAAGGAGGGACCGCUUUCCGCGCCGUAAUUUAUAACGAUUCAACGAAGACGUUUCGGAUGUCGAUGGCGGUUAGUCAGGUCGGUCAACAAGUGGCUGCUCUGCCAUCAAAUGCGCAAAAAGCCAGCGAGCGCCAGAACUUUUCGUCAUUCUUGUACAAUGAAAAGCAACCUGAUCGUGUCAAACGUCCGCUUGAAGAGCAGUGCCAGGAUCGCGGUUUGAAGAGUGCUCGCAAUGUGUUUGACGCUUUGCCGCAAUUGCCGGAAUCGGAUGAGUGUUAAAAAUUUGUCAGAUGCGGAAUUCUCAAAUACAAAAUCUCGUCUCAACUAACGAUUCGGUUAAAUAGAGUUGAUAAAAUUGGAAUAUCGCUUAUUUUACACCCGUUACAUUCGCUUUAUAUUAUUUUAAAUUUGUUCAUGCUGUGCACAGACAAUGUUUUCUGUUUUUUCAAUGAUGCGCUGAUUUGUAUUUUGGAUUCCUGGAAUUUUAUGUCCACUGAUCGUUUUGCGCGGUACUGUUUUUUCGUAAACACAUCUGGUUUUCUUAUGUGCCAGGAGAGUGAUUGGAGCUGGAUUAAUAAAUACGCUCUUAAAAGUUGUUAAAAGAUAUUGAAACCCCGAUCG